AGAUUGAACGCUGGCGGCAUGCCUAACACAUGCAAUUCGAACGGGAGUAGCAAUACUCUAGUGGCGGACGGGUGAGGAAUACGUAGGAAUUUGCCCUUAAGUGGGGGAUAACCCGGGGAAACCCGGAUUAAUACCGCAUGACCUCGAAAGAGCAAAGUGGGGGAUCGCAAGACCUCACGCUUUUGGAGAAGCCUACGUCGGAUUAGCUAGUUGGUGAGGUAAUGGCUCACCAAGGCGACGAUCCGUAACUGGUCUGAGAGGAUGAUCAGUCACACCGGAACUGAGACACGGUCCGGACUCCGUACGGGAGGCAGCGAGGUGGGAAUAG
rnacentral:rRNA from 1 species